AGUGAACGCUGGCGGUAGGCCUAACACAUGCAAGUCGAACGGCAGCACAGUAAGAGCUUGCUCUUACGGGUGGCGAGUGGCGGACGGGUGAGGAAUACAUCGGAAUCUACUUUUUCGUGGGGGAUAACGUAGGGAAACUUACGCUAAUACCGCAUACGACCUACGGGUGAAAGCAUGGGAUCUUCGGACCUUGCGCGAUUGAAUGAGCCGAUGUCGGAUUAGCUAGUUGGCGGGGUAAAGGCCCAGCAAGGCGACGAUCCGUAGCUGGUGUGAGAGGAUGGUCGGCCACACUGGAAGUGAGACACGGUCCAGACUCCUACGGGAGGCAGCAGUGGGGAAUAUUGGACAAAGGGCGCAAGCCUGAUCCAGCCAUACCGCGUGGGUGAAGAAGGCCUUCGGGUUGUAAAGCCCUUUUGUUGGGAAAGAAAAGCAGCAGGUUAAUACGCCGCUGUUCUGACGGUACCCAAAGAAUAAGCACCGGCUAACUUCGUG
rnacentral:rRNA from 1 species